rnacentral:rRNA from 1 species
GUGUCAGCAGCCGCGGUAAGACAGAGGGUGCAAACGUUGUUCGGAAUUACUGGGCGUAAAGCGCGUGUAGGCGGCUAUGCAAGUCGGAUGUGAAAGCCCUCGGCUCAACCGGGGAAGUGCACCCGAAACUGCAAAGCUAGAGUCUCGGAGAGGAUCGUGGAAUUCUCGGUGUAGAGGUGAAAUUCGUAGAUAUCGAGAGGAACACCGGUGGCGAAGGCGGCGAUCUGGACGAUGACUGACGCUGAGACGCGAAAGCGUGGGGAGCAAACAGGAUUAGAUACCCUGGUAGUCCACGCCGUAAACGAUGGGUGCUAGGUGUCGCGGGCUUUGACCCCUGCGGUGCCGCAGCUAACGCAUUAAGCACCCCGCCUGGGAAGUACGGCCGCAAGGCUAAA